UUGGAGGGCAAGUCUGGUGCCAGCAGCCGCGGUAAUUCCAGCUCCAAUAGCGUAUAUUAAAGUUGUUGCAGUUAAAAAGCUCGUAGUUGAAUUUCGGGAUCAAUACGUCGGUCGUGCCUCUGGUAUGAACUGGUGUUAUUGAUUCCUCCUUUCUGAUAAACCAUGAUGUCAUUAAUUUGGUGUUGUGGGGAGUCAGGACUGUUACUUUGAAAAAAUUAGAGUGUUUAAAGCAGGCCUACGCUUGAAUACAUUAGCAUGGAAUAAUGAAAUAGGACGUUCGAACCUAUUUUGUUGGUUUCUAGGAUCAACGUAAUGAUUAAUAGGGAUAGUUGGGGGCAUUAGUAUUCAAUUGUCAGAGGUGAAAUUCUUGGAUUUAUUGAAGACUAACUACUGCGAAAGCAUUUGCUAAGGAUGUUUUCAUUAAUCAAGAACGAAAGUUAGGGGAUCGAAGACGAUCAGAUACCGUCGUAGUCUUAACCAUAAACUAUGCCGACUAGGGAUCGGAUGAUGUUAAUUUUUUAAUGACUCAUUCGGCGCCUUACGGGAAAC
rnacentral:rRNA from 1 species